rnacentral:lncRNA from 1 species
AGGCCAGGGGUCGAAUCGGAGCUGUAGCCACUGGCCUACCCCACAGCCACAGCAAUGCAGGAUCUGAGCCAUGCCUGCAACCUACACUACAGCUCACAGCAAUGCCAGAUCCCCAACCCACUGAGCCAGGCCAGGAAUCGAACCGGAGUCCCCAUGGAUGCUAGUCAGAUUCGUUAAUUGCUGAGCCAUAACAGGAACUCCAAUAUAGUGAUUCAUAAUAUAGGUUUUUAUAUGCAUGCUUUGAAAUGUGCAGUGGACCAUGAACACAGAAAUUGUGAGCUUUAUAUAUUCAUUCAUUCAUUCAUUCUUCUGAGUGCCUAGCACAGUGCCCAGCAGGCAGAAGUCAAUCAAUAUGUGUGUGUGUGUGCGCGUGAGAGAAAGAGAGAGUGACUGAGAGAAAAUAAUACAUAAUAUCCUUUUUGAAAAAUGUGCCAAAGGUGUGUGAAGUUGUUUUAUUUUGUUUUGUUGAAGCAUAGCUGAUUUUACAGUUGUGUUAGUUUCUGGUGUAUAGCAAAGUGAGUCAGUUUAAUAUAUAUAUUCUUUUUCAGAUUCAUUUACAUUAUAGUUUAUUACAAGUUAUUGAAUGUUGUUCCCUGUGUUAUUACAGUGGGUCCUUGUUUUUCAUCUGUUUUAUAUGUAAUAGUUUGUAUCUGCUAAUCCCAAACUCCUAGUUUAUGCCUCCCCCCUUCCUUUUUGAUAACCAUAAGUGUAUUUUCUAUGUCUGUGAGUCUGUUUCAGUUUUGUAAAUAAGUUCAUUUCCAGCAUUUGAUUACAUGUAAUAAUGUGAUAUUAUAUGAUAUUCAUCUUUCUCUGACUUCACGUAAUAUGAUAAGUAUUAAGUACGUACAUCCAUGUUGCUGCAAAUGGCAUUAGUUCAUUCUUUUUUAUGGCUGAGUAAUAUUCAUGUAUAUCUCACAUCUUCUUUAUCCAUUCAUCUGUCAAUGGACAUUUAGGUUGCUUUCAUGUCCUGGUUAUCGUAAACAGUGCUGCUGUGAACACCAGGGUGCAUCUUUUUGAAUUAGAAUUUUGUCUAGCUCUAUGCCCAGGAGUGGGAUUGCUAAAUCAGAUGACCACUCUAUUUUUAGUUUUUUAAGGAACCUCCAUACUGCUCUCCAUUGCGGCUGCACUAAUUUACAUUCCUGCCAACAGUAUAGGAGGGAGGGUUCCCUUUUUCCCUAGAGGAGCUUUUCAUUGUCCAUGAACGAACUGGAUGCACGUGAAGGUGGAGGGAAUUGUCCAUGUCAGUGAACGGCAGAGCUAAGGUUUGAACCCAGGCAUCCUGUGGUCAGAGAUUGUGCCUGUCACCAUGAUCCUGCCUUGCCUCUCAAGUUGUGAUGCUGCCAAAGUUCUUAGGUCCCCGGGAGGAACAUGAUAUAAAGUGCAUUUCAUUAAAAAAAAAAAAAAAA